UCGAACGGUAACAGGAAGCAGCUUGCUGUUUUGCUGACGAGUGGCGGACGGGUGAGUAAUGUCUGGGAAACUGCCUGAUGGAGGGGGAUAACUACUGGAAACGGUAGCUAAUACCGCAUAACGUCGCAAGACCAAAGAGGGGGACCUUCGGGCCUCUUGCCAUCGGAUGUGCCCAGAUGGGAUUAGCUAGUAGGUGGGGUAACGGCUCACCUAGGCGACGAUCCCUAGCUGGUCUGAGAGGAUGACCAGCCACACUGGAACUGAGACACGGUCCAGACUCCUACGGGAGGCAGCAGUGGGGAAUAUUGCACAAUGGGCGCAAGCCUGAUGCAGCCAUGCCGCGUGUAUGAAGAAGGCCUUCGGGUUGUAAAGUACUUUCAGCGGGGAGGAAGGGAGUAAAGUUAAUACCUUUGCUCAUUGACGUUACCCGCAGAAGAAGCACCGGCUAACUCCGUGCCAGCAGCCGCGGUAAUACGGAGGGUGCAAGCGUUAAUCGGAAUUACUGGGCGUAAAGCGCACGCAGGCGGUUUGUUAAGUCAGAUGUGAAAUCCCCGGGCUCAACCUGGGGAACUGCAUCUGAUACUGGCAAGCUUGAGUCUCGUAGAGGGGGGUAGAAUUCCAGGUGUAGCGGUGAAAUGCGGUAGAGAUCUGGAGGAAUACCGGUGGCGAAGGCGGGCCCCCUGGACGAAGACUGACGCUCAGGUGCGAAAGCGUGGGGGAGCAAACAGGAUUAGAUACCCUUGGGUAGUCCACGCCGUAAACGAUGUCGACCUUGGAG
rnacentral:rRNA from 1 species